rnacentral:rRNA from 1 species
UACGGAGGGUGCGAGCGUUGUCCGGAAUCACUGGGCGUAAAGGGCGCGUAGGCGGCCUGAUAAGUAGGGGGUGAAAUCCUGCGGCUUAACCGCAGGGCUGCCUUCUAAACUGUCAGGCUAGAGCACAGUAGAGGCAGGUGGAAUUCCCGGUGUAGCGGUGGAAUGCGUAGAGAUCGGGAAGAACAUCAGUGGCGAAGGCGGGCUGCUGGGCUGUUGCUGACGCUGAGGCGCGACAGCGUGGGGAGCAAACAGG